AUUUCUUUCUGUGGACAUUUUAAAAUUUAGGCUGUAAGUGCUCAUUGAAAGAUAACUUUGGUUUAAUCUUAACCAGAGGCAAGGAUUUGUGAUUUUUCAAGAGUGUUUCCUUUCCCACCCUGUGCCUGGCUGAGCAUUUCUGUCCAUUUCCAUGGGAAGACUGCAUUGUGUUCCUUUAAGGGAAAUGAUGUUUCGCUGGAAAAGGGAGGCUGUGUCUAUUUUACUUCUUUCCCUAGGACAUGAGUGAGUCGCCAGACAUGAAGGCUUUGCCUGUGAAUGUGCUGCCUCUCUCUGGGAUGGGCAGAGCUGAAGACCAACAGUAAUUGCUCCAGCUGGUAUCUGCAUCUGGUGGAUUUUGGAAGCUUACUCUCCCAUGUCCUCAGCACUAUUCUGCUGUAAGUUUUCUCCACUGUCUGGAGAAUUAGAAAUCUACAGGCAACCAGCGACUUGUUUGAAAUGGCUGGGGCUCCAGCACAUGGAGGAGUAGACUAAGACUCUGCGACAGUCAGUGCUGCCUUUGAAUGGAACCCUUCUAGACUUUGGUGAACAAGGUCUGUGUGGAUGUGGCCUCCAGUAGAAAACACUUUCUUGGCCGGGUGCAGUUAAUCCCAGCACUUUGGGAGGCUGAGCCGGGUGGAUCAGGAGAAGGACAUGUUUAUUACUCGGAUUUUAUUAUACUAUGUAUUGCAAAUAGCUUUGCCCAAGUUGGGAAGGGAACACGGCAGGUCUUGAUGCUGCUGCUAACCUAGUUGUUACUUUGUCUCUAGAUUCCUGGGUAUGGCAUCUCCAUACCAAUCUGAAAACAUAAGAGAGCUCGAAGAAAAGCAUAGACUCAGAUGCAAUAAUCACUUGGGGUAAAUAUUCUAAACAUUUUUUUUGAACCAGCCAUUGUUUAAUCACCAUGAAAUAUGGUCACUUAUCUCCAAAGGGAAAUAUUUAGAAUACAAACCUCUCUUGCUGUCACCUGGCAUACAAGGAAAUGCAGUGAUGUUUCCAUUCAAGAAGUGCCUAGAUCAAGCCUUUCCUGAACAACAGGAAAUGGAAUCUUGACACCCUGUUACACCUUAGACCAUCACACUCUCUUGCAACUCUGAAGAGGAAAAGGAAGACAUUUGAAUUAUAAAUGUGAGUUAUUUAAAAAGACAUUUUUAAAAAUGUACAGAAAAGAAAAGUAACUAAGUAAAAUAACAAAAUCUCCUUAACCUCAUGACUCUUGCCUUAAACAAACAAUAAAUACAGUUUUAAUGGAAGCCUGGCUCAAUUGAAUUGUAUGUUUACAGUUCUCUGAGUGAACAGCCUUGGGUAGCCACCAUCCAGAGCAGUGGAGACAUCACCAGUCCCAGAAGUCCCUGAUGUCCCUUCCAGUCACGACUCUGUCCCCUCGCCUAGGUAAUCAAUCACUAGCCUGCCUCCUCUUCUAACAUCUUUAAAUACUUUUGACUUUUUUUUUCAAUUUUUUUUUAAUUUUGAAAAUUUCAAAUUAGGUUAACUGAAAUAACAGUACAAUGAACACUCAUAUUUUCCUUACCCAGAUUCACUGAUUGCUAACAUUUUGCCGUAUUUUCUUAUUUCUCUGAACCAUUCUAAAGUUGUAAACAUCAUGUUUUCCCCCAAAUGCUUUAUCAGUUAUCACCUUAAAACAAAGACG
rnacentral:lncRNA from 10 species